rnacentral:rRNA from 1 species
GAAAUGCGAUAAGUAAUGUGAAGUGCAGAAUUCAGUGAAUCAUCGAAUCUUUGAACGCACCUUGCGCUCCUUGGUAUUCCGAGGAGCAUGCCUGUUUGAGUGUCAUGAAAUUCUCAACUACCCUUUAUGUUAAGGGUGAAGUUGGAGUUGGAGGAUAAUUGCUGGCGCAACUAAGGUUGCUUGUUGGCUCCUCUUGAAUGGAUGAGCUUUUCUGAUAGAUCAUAGCUCAGUAACACUAAUGUGAUAAUUAUCUACGUUAGCUGUGAAAGCUUGUGAGUAGAGUGACUUCAAAUAUGGAGACACUCCUAUGGAAAAGGUGUGUCUUGACUUAAUGACAAAUCUGACCUCAAAUCAGGUAGGACUACCCGCUGAACUUAAGCAUAUCAAUAAGCGGAGGAAAAGAAACUAACAAGGAUUCCCCUAGU